rnacentral:rRNA from 2 species
UGGGGAGUACGGUCGCAAGAUUAAAACUCAAAGGAAUUGACGGGGGCCCGCACAAGCAGCGGAGCAUGUGGUUUAAUUCGAAGCAACGCGAAGAACCUUACCUGGACUUGACAUCCCUUGCAUAGCCUAGAGAUAGGUGAAGCCCUUCGGGGCAAGGAGACAGGUGGUGCAUGGUUGUCGUCAGCUCGUGUCGUGAGAUGUUAGGUUAAGUCCUGCAACGAGCGCAACCCUUGUUAUUAGUUGCUACCAUUAAGUUGAGCACUCUAAUGAGACUGCCUGGGUAACCAGGAGGAAGGUGGGGAUGACGUCAAAUCAUCAUGCCCCUUAUGUCCAGGGCUACACACGUGCUACAAUGGUAGGUACAAUAAGACGCAAGACCGUGAGGUGGAGCAAAACUUAUAAAACCUAUCUCAGUUCGGAUUGUAGGCUGCAACUCGCCUACAUGAAGCUGGAGUUGCUAGUAAUCGCGAAUCAGAAUGUCGCGGUGAAUACGUUCCCGGGCCUUGUACACACCGCCCGUCACACCAUGAGAGCUGGUAACACCCGAAGUCCGUGAGGUAACCGUAAGGAGCCAGCGGCCGAAGGUGGGAUUAGUGAUUGGGGUGAAGUCGUAACAAGGUAGCCGUAGGAGAACCUGCGGCUGGAUCACCUCCUUUCUAAGGAGA